CAGUCGCCACGGUAAUACGUAGGUGGCAAGCGUUGUCCGGAAUUAUUGGGCGUAAAGCGCGCGCAGGUGGUUUAAUAAGUCUGAUGUGAAAGCCCACGGCUCAACCGUGGAGGGUCAUUGGAAACUGUUAAACUUGAGUGCAGGAGAGAAAAGUGGAAUUCCACGUGUAGCGGUGAAAUGCGUAGAGAUGUGGAGGAACACCAGUGGCGAAGGCGACUCUCUGGUCUGUAACUGACGCUGAGGCUCGAAAGCGUGGGGAGCAAACAGGAUUAGAUACCCGCGUAGUCCCUGUCUCUUAUAC
rnacentral:rRNA from 1 species